UUCUUUAUUACUUAAAUGCUAAUCUAUCACACCUAACAUAUACAAAUGCACAAUUAAUAAACAAAAUGGUUUCAAAUCUAUCUCAUAUUUAUAAAGAAUGCUUAUUCCACCCAAACAGAGUCUCCACAUGACCAAGAACAAGGUCUAUAAAACUAUACCAUGUUUCAGAAGACAGGUCAGACCCAGGAACAUUAAAAAUUUGGUUAAUUCUAUUUUAGCAGAGCCGCAUGAUAGAUGGCACUUUUAUGCUGUAACCUAAUAAAAUAUCCUCUUUUGUCUCUCCCACUAGAAGAAUAUUAUACUUUAAACUAGAUCUAAUUAAAAAUAGCAGGGAACGAGGUUUGUAUCAAAGAGUAGUCUCUGCGCAGAUGGUGUUCCCCACACAACACCAGACUGUACCUACAGCUGAGAAGAGGUCCCCAUGCCUGGCAGCUUCCCACUCAUGCCCUCAGGACGGAGGUGAUUAAUGGACUCUGUCUAAUGGUAAAGUAAAUGAAUAAGCAACGCUAAGUUCCUCAUCUGAAACACCAGAAAGUUUGGUUUCAAACAGGUGUCCAGGCUUCAGAAAGCUCUGCACAGAACAAUGCCACUAGCAUUUCUCAAAAGCCCUCAGCCCUUUGGCAGGCCAGCGGGAAGAGCACCCUGCGCAUCGCGUCCUUCCAGGCUCUGUCUGCGAGACCGCAGUGAAGACCCUGCCUAGAGAGGGUUGGGAAUGCCAGCCUGCAUCGAUGUGGAGCACACACCGUGCCAGCCUACGCAGCUCCCAUGGGGGCACAGAGGCUGCAGGAGACUUGCAGCUAGUUCAGAGCAAGAUCAGCAUGGCACUGACAAGAAGAAACAAGAUUUGCAGGGAAGGAACUGGCAGCAUUGUACACUCCUUGCAGCAACAACUCCCUUCUGCAGCUCCCAGGAUGAGGGGAUUCAAAAGGCACGUGGCACAGGAGACCCCGGGGCAAGGCCCUUCUUCACCAGUCACCUGGAGGACACAAACAUGUAUACUAUCCUAUUGUGACAGUUAAGCAGUCAGGAAACUCAAAACAA
rnacentral:lncRNA from 1 species